UCCCACUCUUUACUCCAUUUGACGAAAUCGAAAUCCUCUUCUCUAGAGCAAGGAAGAACGACAUCCGCUGCACACCCGCACCACAGCCUCUACCGAAUCGACCGUCGAGAUCCAUCCCCACCUCGCAUCUUCGCUACCGUGACGACCUUCGUUAUCGACCUGAGGUCCUGUCGGCGAUGCGGGUCGCCACCGCAGUCUCAUCCAGCUGCCGUGUGUCAUGGCCCAACGCGUCGCAAGUACCACUGCUCGUCGCCGGCCAUAGCUCCAGGCCCUUCUUUCCUCCUCCUCUUCCCGCACAAGAAAAGCUCUCUCGCUCCUUCGUCAAACACUACCUGAGCGAGCCCAGCCGUCUCGAACCUGGGCACCACCAGCGCCAAAAGUCACGACCAAAGUUGUUGUUGGUCAUCGCGUCGACCUCCUUUACCGCCACGACCGAAUCCAUCUCUACCCCUAAAACUGCCAUCAUCACUGCCACCACUGAAAAUGCUACCGUCUCCUCCACCUUUGGGAGGUCUCAUUGUCUAAUUAACAGAGAAUACAAAACCUUUGGUAGGGCUCAUUGUUUAAUCAACAGAGAACACGACCACAGAGGCUUACCAAGAUGAUGUUUGGGGAUUCUAUCUGAUGGGUUUUCUAGUUUCUGUUGUGUAGGUGGAAAAGAUGAACUCGGUUGGAGGAGAAUAUAAAAUCGUAGAAGAUAUUGAUGGACCAAGAAGAGGCAUUAAAGGCUGUUGAAAAUAGGAGAACUCGUGAUGUUUAGGGGUUUUGGAGCGGAUUGACUGCAAAAGGGGUUUUCAUAGCUUCACCAUGCAGGGUGUGUUCAGGGGAAGGGGAUGAAAGUGUGCAAUAAGAAUCUAGAAUGGAGAAUGUGGAAGACUCACCACAGUACAUACUCAACCAAAGCAAAAUAAGCAUAAAAGGCAGGAUAAUGCAGUAAGCGUACAUCACCACACAAGUGAGCAAGGUGCUUACCUCUCGGAGGUCUACUGGCUGCUGUUAGCUACGUGUAUCCGGUGACCCCUUCUCCUUCUUCCUAGCUGGCCUCUGUCUUUCUUUGUAGGUAAAAAUGGUGGAUGUCGUCACGGAGACUGGAUGAUGAUCGAAGAUGAAGGCCCGAGAAGCUGUGUGAAAUCCUCUUUUUUACUCUAUGCUACAAAUCUGUCCAAUCCUCCUCCCCAAAAAACCUCCUCAAUGCUUCGUCUGUGCUUUUUUUGCCGAAAUCCCCGUAACUGUUUCCGUGUGCCAAAUCGCGUCCCUGCCAAUCAACUCCGCAUCGUCCUUGCCCACCAGACCCUCUUGCCGCUUUGCAGACGUCCCCUUUCCUUCAGCCAAACACUUUUUCUCUCUUUUUCCUCUCUUUUUUUUCAUAUAAAACACAAAAGGUUUCAUACAUUUUUCUUUUCUUUCUUUUUUUUUCUUAACUUAACUAUAUAUUAAUUAUAUUAAAACAAAACUAAAAACAAAAAGUAAAAAUACAAACAAAAACAUUAAAAUGGAAAUUAUAAAAGGAAAAGUAAAAUAAAAUAAAAUAGAAUAAUAAAAAGAAAUUAAAAGUAAAAUAAAAAUGAUAAAAA